rnacentral:tRNA from 1 species
GUCCCCGUAGGCGAAUGGUUAAGCCAUCUGACUUUCUAUCAGAAGAUUGCAGGUUCGAACCCUGUCGGGGACGCCA